AAAAACUGAUAAUAAAAUAUCAUCAAAUUACAAGUCUUCAAAACUUGUUCAUCUUUCCUUUUCCCUUACUGGUGCUAGGUACAUCAACCUUCUCAUCCUUAACUAUAAUAAUUAUAUAAGCAAGAGUGAGCAAACAAAGCUCACUUGAUACAAUAAUCAAUGAAAAACCUUUACAACAAAUGUAAAAUAAGAGACUCAAUAGAUUUAAACAAUUACGAUUUGUCAACAAUCUGAAGUAAAUAACUGAGGGUCCUAAGACCACGAACUAUGUCCAUAGUGAUAAGUAAUGUUUCAACUUAAACUUUAACAGUCAUAAGACUAUAGGGACUCCUCGUACUUAGGGGGAUCAACCCUUUGUACAAUGUAUUGUGCACAAACAUUUCAACGCUAAGCGUAAGUUACCCCCAAUAAUAGGGUUGUUCAUCUCAGUACUUAGAGUACAAGUCCGCACCAAAAUGAGUUUGGUUUGGAUACAUUUUAGGGUAAUUUAGAAUUCAACGAACAUCAACUAAGGAUUAGUUGAAUAAAACCAAUAACAUCGUACUAUAGAAUAAUCGUAAUUGAAUCAACAUGGUAAACCAAAAUCAUGCUUUAGGAAUAAUCUAAUAGCAUAUACUUUGAAUAACUAUAACAUGCCUUGCUUGAACAAUAUUAAGUCAAGGUUAAUUAGAAUUGAGUACUAAGCAUGCAUAGUAGUUUGAACGAUAAAAUUGUUCGACAUUAGUAUAAAUAGUUGUUCAUGCUAAACAACAAGUUAAAUACAAGAAUAACUUGUCAACAUCAAACCAAAGUUUAGAAAGCUUGCAUCAUUUAUAAGGUAAUCGAAUUGAAACAAUAAAUAGUUCAACAAGAUAAAGAAUUAGAAAACUUGCAUUGCUCGUAGGCUAAACCGAAUCAAUUCGGAUCACAAUACCUUAUAUGUACAUAUGUACAUAUAUAUAUAUAUAUGUCAUCAUGACAUAGUUAGUCACUACUACUUUACAAAUUUAACUAACUAUAUACAUAAUAUAGGUUUGAUUAUUUAAUCAUAUAAUCAAGUUAUAACACAAGUUAAUUGUUAAUAACAUACUUAUUCUUAGUAUAGAAAUACUAAUAUCAACAUUUUACAGUCCUACUAUCAUCACAUAACAAUUUCUUAACAUUUGAGUACAAAAAAAAUACACUGUCAGACCAUUCUGCUAACUCGCGCUGCGGCGCCACAGUUUAUACUGUGGUGCGGCGCUGCGGCGCAAGAAUAACGCUACAAGGCCGCGCUGUGGCGCGAAAGAUGAACUGAUGGGCCGCGCUGCGGCGCCAAACUGUAGUUUCGACUGACAGCUUCGGCAACAGUAUAAGAAAAAGCCAAUUUUGGCCUAAAAGUUCCUUUCUAACAGCCUAAUUCACAUGAAAUUCAUACAAAGACUUCAUGUAAACAUAAUUCAAAGAUUGUAAAUAUGUUUCUACUCAUAAAACAAUAUAAACAACAAAUUUAACACAUACAAUUUCACUAUUUUUGAUAAAAACUCACUUUUUGAUGUUUUUGACGAAAAUAAACACUGUGAUUUUGUUUUUCAACCAAAACAGUUAAUUCAAAGCAUUUUAUCAAUGUUUAUACAUACUCUAUCAAACUCAACAGUCAAUUUAUCAAUUAAACAACUAAUUACCCUUAAUUUUUACUUUAAACUAAACAAUAUAUAUAUACACAAACUCUCUGUAAAAAUAGCUUUUCUUCACAACCAUAUACAUAAUACAAAUUCAUGGACUAUUCUCCAUUAUAGCUUAAGAAAAUAGUUUAACAACACUAGAUUAUCAUAUAAAAUCACAUACAUAACAAAUAAUUUAUCCUUACACAAGGAUUUUACAUAGAAUUAGGGAAGAGAAAAAAGUAAACCUUUAAAACUAAAAAGAAUAAGAUAAUACCUUGAAGAAGAUGAUGAUGGCUAUUCCCUUUUUUUUUUUUAUUCUCAAGCUUUUCUUCUCACCAAUUCCCUAGCAUUUCUUCCUCUCUUCUUUUCUCUCUCACUUUUCUUCUCUUCUUCUUCUUCUUCUUCUUCUUCUUCUUCUUCUUCUUCUUCUUCCUCUGAGUUUUCUCUUUUCUUCCUAACUCUAACUACGUACUAACAAUGUAAUGUAUAUAGGAUAUAAUUUAUAUUAAUUAUAUAAUAUAAAUACAGAUAUAACUGAUAUCCGUUAUCUAAGUUUUGAAAACCAAAAGCCAUAAGGCUUGUUUGGCUAGUCACUAAAAAAAUAACCAAUUAAUCCUUAUGCCUUGUUUGGUAAAACACAAUUAGAAUAAAGACUUAAUAGGCAUUAGGCAUUGUUUGGCAAAACUAAAUUAAAACUCCUUUAACUUAUUUUAAUAACUACUUUAUAAAAGGUUAUUUGUCACACUUUUAAUAAAUUAAAUUAAUCUUAAUAACAAUAUAUUAAAUUUCUUUAACACAUAAAUCAAUACCACAAAAUUAUAAUUUUCUAUAUAUUAUAACUUUAUUUAACCAACUAACACAUCCUUUUAAUUACAAAAUUCAAAUAAAAAGAAUAAUAAUUCAAUUAAUCAAAACUCUCUAACUUAAUAAUUAAAUUAAAUUAGCAAAUAUAAUAAUUUUCUUAAUUAUUUAUUUAACAGAUAGUUAACCAAAUUGAAUCAAAUUUGAACAAUUACAAAUUCAACCAUAAACACAUCCAUUAAAUACUUAAAUAAUUCAAUAAAUAUUUAAUAUAACUAUUAAAAUUCUGGAAUGUUACAAUUAUGACCAGGGAUUAUUCGGUAUAAUCAUGACCAUUAAUGAUUACAUAAAUAUCCUUGGCCCGUAAUGCAGGGAUGAUUCGAUGAUGUGGUUUAUUUAUUAAGCUGAGUAUCAGCGAUAAAGUUGAUGAAAAACUUUUUAAAUCAUAGAAGAUAGUAGAUUUUAUGCUCUACUUGACUCUUCUAAUGGAUUGCUUAUUCCGCUGCAGUUGUUGAUCUAAAACUUGUUGUCUAUGGUAUUCUAUCAGUUGUUAUACUGUUGAAGGCUAAGGAUAAUUUAUUCUGCAUUAUCUUAGUCAUAAUAUUUCUUACUGGGCUAGUUGAGCUCACUCUUUUCUUUCAUUGUUCUCUUCANNNNNNNNNNNNNNNNNNNNNNNNNNNNNNNNNNNNNNNNNNNNNNNNNNNNNNNNNNNNNNNNNNNNNNNNNNNNNNNNNNNNNNNNNNNNNNNNNNNNUUUUGUCGUAUUUUACACGACUGUUGUAUAAUUAAGUUGUAUUUGAAUAUAUGUACCAUGUAUCUGGCGACCCAAGAUGGGUGAUGUAUACCUGUUUUGGGGGAGUCACAGCGUCGUCUCAACAUACAUUCUAAACAAUAAUGUCCCACAAGAACUAAGGAGUUGCAAUCCCGAGUGAUUACCACGCAAGGCAGAACACCGGAUAGAAUUUGAAGCUUGAAGACAUAGGACAUGGUUCCAUCUUCCUGACUUCGUACAACCUCUAAACCCAUGUCAUUGCGUAGCUCUCGACAACGGCAGUCCUAAACAUGUCUUAUAUACCUCAAUCGGAUGCUCGGAUUAAAGUUCUGUAAGUUCGAACGGAUAUCAUGUUGCACGCGUGCACGUACUUCGAGACAGUGAGACCCGCAGAGCCCGGGGCACCCCGGGCAGCAGCAGGUGCAUCUGCGGCUGCCGCAGGUACACCUGCGGCUGCCCCCUCUAUAAAUAGAGUGCUUGGGGUGGCCAUAUUUCAAGAAAAGAUGGCGAGGAAGCCCUGUCCAAUUUGCUCUGUAUACACCCUAUAUUGAGUGUUUUCUCAUUUUAAACACUUGUGAGCUCACAUAUAGCUAUUUUUUACCAGCGAGAGCCGAGUGUUCAUCCACUUAAAGCUAUAGAAGUCUUCUUUGGCAGUCCACUAUAAGCCUUCUUACACACUAUAAAGCCUUUCUCUUCAUCUUUGCGCACACUCUUCUUCACGUUGAGAGUCAUGUUAUGUGUGUAUGCCCGGACUUCGGUCUGUGGUUUUCAUUUCUAUUUGUAUAUAUAUACUUAUAUAUGUAUAUAUUUAUACAUAUGUUUGGAGCGUUUACUUGCUUAUAUAUAUAUAUAUAUAUAUAUAUAUAUAUAUAUAUAUAUAUAUAUACAUUUCUGUCAGGCCUGGAGUUUACUUUGUGUCAUUUCACUCCUUUAUUUACAUUUCGUCCUACCCGGAGUUUACUUCGUGGCGGUUGAUCAUUUUUACUAUUUUAUUUACAUUUAGUCCCGCCUGGAGUUUACUUCGUGGCGGUUUAUCGUAUUUAUUGCUUUAUUUACAUUUCUAAUCCCCCAUGGAGGUGCUUCGUAGUGGUUGAUCAUGUCUCUCUAUAUAUAUUUACCGCUUUUAUAUAUUUACAUUUUUGAUCCCCCAUGGAGGUGCUUCGUGGUGGUUGAUCAUGUAUGUAUAUAUAUAUUUACAGCUUUUAUAUAUAUAACUGCUUACUGCUUUCAUAUAAAUUGCGGCAUCAUGUGAGCCUAGGAAUCAUGGAUCACAGAUUAGGUCUACUAAAUCUAGAUUCGGUUCCCGUGAUGGACAUUUUCAGUUGUACGCAGCUUGUAAAUUAUUCAUGAUGUUUGAAUUUCCUUAGAUGGAUUUAAUGCCCAUGAGGAGUUCGGCACUGCUAUAUAUUAUUUUCUCGAAGAUGUUUCGCAUCUCAAAAAUAAAAGCAACCAAGCCGAACAUUUAAUAAUAAAAUAGAAGUAUCAAAGACCUCAAUUACUAUUGAGCACGGGGUUUGAAAAAACCUCUUUUACAAAAUCUCAUUGCUAUAUCUUGUUUAAAACUAAAUUUUUCAUACAAAUUCAAACCCUGUGUAUAUAGGUGCGAAUGAGGCAUAGCACUACUUCAAAAUAAAUUUCACAUUGAUCCACACACACACAUACACAUUAAUAGAAUAGUUUCUUGAAAAGUGGCGGUCACCGUGGUAACACGGAUGUCGGGGGGUGCCUAACACCUUCCCUCCGCAUAAUCAAGCCCCCGAACCCAAAUGAAUCUCGGUUUCACAGACCCGUUUAGCAGUUUCACAUCACUGGGUCAAUGUGCAAACUUUUUCUCGGUUACGUUGGUGCAACCAGUUAAAAACACCAACUGGCAACUCUUACAGUCAAAUCAUCGACAUAUACAUAUCGGACCUUUUUCACUUGUUUUUUCAAACAAAUCUCACCUAACAUGAGAACACCAAAGAACAAGAACAGAAAAGGGACAAAUAAAAAAUCCCGACGUCGACAGCAACUAUGGUUGAAAAGUUUUAUCAUUUACCAUAUGUUCUAAAUCUCUGUUUUAUUACUGACGAAGGCUAUUGAUAAUUUAAUUAUCUUUAGUCAUGAUAUUCUUUAUUGAGCUAGUUGUGCUCACCCUUUUGCUUCACAAUUCCUUUCAGGUAAUAAGAGUGUAGCUAGGUCGAGCGGGGGUAACAGGGGAAUAGAACGGUGGUCUAUAGCUGUUGAGGUUUCCCCUAAAAAGUAUGGAAAUAAUUUUAUUGAGAAUUUUAGAUAAAUGUGUCGUAUUGUAUACGUCAUUUAACCGUUGAUUUUGGUGAACCGAAUAGGGUGAGGUGAACUAACUUUGGAAGGGUGUUUUGUCAAUAUCAUACAAGAUGUCUAAUGACCUACGACUUCAUGUUAUCAUAAGACAGGGUUGUGCACAUCCACUUGCUGAUUAUAUCUAUGAGCACUAGCUAUAUAAUCUUAGAGUUUUGUUGAAAUAUAAUUCUCAACUGGAGAUAAUGGAGAUAAUUAUAUGUCAAGAGAAGACUCACCAUUGGAAAGAACAUGAUAGCAAUCUUCUCAUUUUUCUUUGGGGUCUAUUCGGUCAACUAAGGAUAAUUCUCGAGUCAUAUGAUAUAUAUUAUAACUUAGAUGCAUGGCCUCCCAUGUACGAAGGUUUCCUUGAGCAUUUUCUAGAGAUUUUAAUUUCUAAAACAGUUAUUGACUAUACCUUUAUGUAAGGUAUCAAUGUGAGGUGUUAUCUAAGUAAAGGGAUGAGAGUCACAGUUGGUAUUAAAACUCACAAUAUAUGUAUUGUCGUAUUUUGCACGACAAUUGUAAUAAAAAGUUAUAGUUUUUUUUUGUACCAUGUAUUUGGCAACCCAGAAUGGGUUGGGUGGAUUGGACCUAUUUUAGGGGGCGUCACAAUUUCUUUAUCUCAAAUGAUAUUCUUCAUUGUGGCUAAAAAAAUUCUUACCUUUUGGAAAAAUUAAUCCAUUUUUUCUAAGCAAUGCAUCUUUAAGUACUCUACCAUCUGUAGCCAACCCUUCCCAACCAGGCAACACAUAUAAAAAUUACAUCUUUGGUGAACAAACUCCUAAAACAUUUGUUGUAAUUUCACUUUUUCUGUUUCUGUACCUAGGCUUGUCCUCUAUGGGUAAGUUCAUUCUUAUGUGAGUCCCAUCCAAAGCCCCUAAACAAUUCUAUAAUAACAUAGACAUGGAUUACAAGAUAUACUUAAACAUAGGAGGUUGUGUUAAAAAUGUAUGUGUGUAUGUGUGCAAAUUGUACCUUGAAAUACUUCUACUUUUCAUCAGUUGAGUCAUCAGCAAUUGGUUUGAGAUUCUUAAAAAAUUCUCCUUGCAAUCUUAAAUCUUCAUUAACUACCUUAUGAAAAUGCCUACUUAUCGACUCCCCAGACCUUUCAAAGUUAAAUUUGAUAACACGAUUUUUUGAAUGGUGUCCCAGUAUAUACAAGAAUAUUACAACUUGUUCAAUUACAUCUAUGUAUUUAGUUGAACGUAAGUAACUUUUCGUCUUGAACAUAUGAAACUCAAUUUAGAAAGGUACUCAUAUUCAUCCUAAGUUGUUCAAUACAAUUAUUAUCACCUCCAUUGAUUAACUUAUCAAUGUAACGUGUCCUCCACAACUUAUAAAUAGAAUAUUGUUACUUGAAAGCUUUCCACCUAAUCAAACCCAUAAUUUGAAGAAAAAAAAACAAUUCACCAAUGUAAUCAUAUACAACCACGUUGUAAAUAGUAUAACAAUUCUCUUCUUCAUGAUAUUCUUCCUUGUAGCUAAAUUAAAUCGAGUCAUUAUUGCAUUUAGAGAGUCAAAAUAACUAAUUAUAACAUAAGCCAACUUCCAAACAUUAGUUUAUUAUAAAGUCACAUAAAAAGAAACACAAACAUAAAAGCAUGAGACGACAAGAAAUUCCCUAAAUACACACUUUCCCAGUGUAAAAAGUGUAUAAAUGGCAAGCAUCUAUAUGUUUAGCGUUCCUUUUAUUUCCUCUUAUGUCUGCCUAUUUAAAAAGUGUAUUAAUGUAUCUUUUGCAAGUUAGAAGUUGAAGUUCACCUUGUGUGGAGAGAGUAACAAAUGUACAAAAUCACAACGAACAAUACCCUCUCAAACAAGAAAACUUCAAAAGCAUAAAAUUCAUGUGCGUUAGCAGCUAAUAGAAGUAUAAGUUACUCAUCUAUUGAAACUUAUCUCCUUAAACAAAAUCUUACCUAAUCCUAGUGUUAAACCUAAAAAACAUGAAGCAGUGAGAUCAGUUAUCACAUUGAACUCAUCAUUCCAGUACCCCAAAAAAACUAAUUUCAUUUAUUCAUGGUCCAAAAACCAAUUUCAAGAUAGGAUUAAUCCAUUGAAUAAGUCACAUGGGGCGGUGUUUGUACUAUGCGCAUGAAAGUAGGAAUCAACACCAGUGUUGUCACUUGAAUGACUUUCAAGCCCAAUCCUUAUAUAAUGCAUACGUGCAACAUUACAAGUGGUUCUGGUUCAAUCAUCAAGUGUCACUACUCCAACAACUAAGACUUUCAAGCAAACAAAAAUAAUGAUCCCCAUAUCCCCCAUCCCCAAUCCAAAUUUACACAACUAAUAAAAUUCAGGAGUUUGUUGUACCAAGUAACUUACUACAAGAGCUUAUUUCAUAUUAAUCGAGCUUAUUUCAUAUUAAUUGAGCUUAUAAUCUGUCUAUAUCGUUCAGUACAUGUAAAUCACUAAAAUGUAAAUAGGGGUUUGCUCUAUAAUUCACUAAUUAUUGAAAACUAAAAAGUGAUUGUGAGGCUUUUGUUUGUUCCCUAUUCUAAUCUUCAUAAGGUCAAUACAUCAAACAUAUGGUGCACAUAUAUCCAAAAUCAAAAUUGAUUGAGCACCAAAUUCACUACAUAUAACCAAAAUCAGACUUGAUUAAGCACAAAUGAAUGAACAAAAUGAAGAAUUAAUUACAAAUAAAUAAACUGAUAUUAGAUGUCUUACCGAAUUAAAAGAGAACAGGAGAAGAGUAGAAGAAUAAAAAUUACCCUAAAAAAAGAAAAUCAAUUUGAGAGGAUAGAUGUAGGAGAUAUAGGAGAGAACAGAGAGGACAAAAUAGAGAAAGGAGAGAGAAGAGGGACAUGUACCUGUGAUGGAGGACAUGAGAGUCGAGCGAAGCUAUUCGGCGAUGGGAUCGAUCGAUCGACAUCGAAGAAGAUAAAGUCUAGUGAAAACACGAAUAAAGCUCGAUUGGAAUGAAAUAAACCCACAUAUUUAGAAAGUAAUGAAAAAUAACAUUUCAAAGUGACUAACCAAAUAUGUUUUAAGUCAUUUUAAAAAUAAUGACCAUUCCAUUCUCAGCCCAUUCCAUUCC
rnacentral:lncRNA from 1 species